UUCUAUGCUAGAUAGUGAGCAGUGUAAUAUAGUGACACCUAAAGUUAAAAACUUUGGGAUACGGAUUCAAGAUUCAGAUCCUUGCUUUAAAUGUAAAAUGGACAGCUCGACGAUAACUCAAGAUGAAUCAUACAUAUAUACAGAAAUUAAUGAUACUGCCGAAUUAGAAGUUAUUGAUAAAGCUAAAACUGAUGAUUUUGAAUUUCCUCCCAUCGAAGGUUUGUCGAAAAGUUCAGAAAUCGCCAUACAAUCUCUACAUAGAAACGAUGUAGUUACAACGCUUGUGCCCAAAGUGGUUAUGGCUACAGGAAAUGUAUCACCUACAAAAUGCUUAACUCCAAGAUUGAGCUAUGGAGCUGUUCACGUACAUAGCUACCGGGAGAAGCAGGGAGUGCAUGAUGUUGUUUAUCAAGGAGAAUGGCAAAGAUAUAGACCUAAUACCAGAGGUGAACCUUUGAAAAGUCCGAUUAGUAAAGAAACAAAACUGACAGUCGACCGUAAGAAAAGAUCUCCAAAGGAGAAAAUUAUUGGAAAAGAUGCCAGAAAAGAAGUUGAAAAGCAGAAUUAUAAAAGACCUGUUCAAAUGCGGAAAGCCUUGGAAUCUAAAACGAAGUCAUUGGUUCGAGAAGAGAAUACGAUAGUUUCCAGCAAAGUACCGAAGAUACGAGCAUAUAAAGGAAGUAAAAAGAUAAGAAAAGUUGCAUCGAAAGUGACUGUGAGUUCGAUUUCGUCAAAAAAUUCCAAAGGAACAUAUGUUGUUAAAAAAACUGAUGUCACAAAUAUAAAGCCUGAUGGACAAUAUGGAAAAGCAUCUACUAUUUUACGAAGGAAUUACAUACCGUUGUACUUGAGACAGCGAAUGAAAAUGGAGAAGAGUCUCUCGAAUGUAAAUAACAAAUCUAUUAACGAUCCAAUAGAGACGAUAGGCAUAUUUCAAAUUCACAAACAAAAUCUUAAAUCGUUAGCAAACGAAAAUAAUCAUUUUAAUUUUAAUAAAGAGCGGCGUGAAAGAUACAAUUUCCUAGUUUAUCGUAAUGAGAAUGAAAAGAAAGAUAAGUCUCUACUAUCAAAAGUUGCAACCAAGGCAAGUUGGCAGAGUAAGGAGAGGGCGAAUAGAUCUUUUAGUCCUCAAUCACAAAAUAGCUCGACAUGUUCCUCGCCUAAUAGCAUAGCUACUAUACGCGUAGCAUUCAAUAAAAAGAGUUGUCAACGAGUUCGACAGAGUGCUUCACCACCUUUAACGUCUAAAAGCUUAGACCCUAAAAAAUCCCAAUCACCUGCAUCAACAAAAACCUCAAUCAUGAGAACAAUUGGGAGGAAAACAAAGCUAUCUGAAAACAAAGAAAACAUCCCUCAUCAAAAUGAAAAUAUCAAUAAAAACAAAGACAAAAGAGUGUUCGUGAGAGAUUCAAAAAAUGUAUACAUUUCUCAAUUGAAAGUGGAAAGUACAUCCAAACAAGUGGACCGAAAGAGUAGUGUGAAACAAAAAAAAUCACUCAAAUUAAAUACCACUAGUCUAGAUAAUGCAACAGAAAAACAAACAUCUGAUUUAAAUGUAGAGUCUGAGACAAAAGCGCAAAAUUCAAAAAACUUAGUCGAUAAUGAAAACGUUUGUGAGAUUAUUUCUAAUUUAACAUCCAUUGUAGAGCCAUCAAUCAAAGUUCAUAUAUCUGAACCGACAACACCAGAGAAAAGAAUCAAUAGGCAAGGCCUAGUAACUAACUGGAUUGAUAGUUCGAAUAUAGUUCUUACGGCUACUGCCGAUAACGUUGCAAUUGGAAUAAGGCAGUUAAUAGAAAGGACGCUUGAUUUUAUCGAUGAUUCUGUUGAUGGCGACAUUGGAAUUGAUUCUGAAACGGUGGUACUAAACCAAGAGAAUCACAAUUUAAGCGGUGACGAAAUUCUAUCGCAGACAAGUUUCACAUCAGCCAUAGACGAUGAGAGAUUUUAUUCUGGUUUAGAGAACGAAGCCAAUAAUGCACCGACGUGUUCAUUUAGUUCAGCUUUAGACGAUGAGUUUUUGAGUUUAGGUAGCAUGGGACUCGAAAUCAAUGAAUUUGAUUUGUUAUCAUUCAAAUCUAUGCCGUCUCAUUCUGAUUACGUCACAGUAAGUGAUGUGGCUUCGAGAAUUGAUUCUAUGCGGGAACUAUUUGAACGUAAAGAUACACAAGUACCUCAAAAAGCGGCAGGUACGUUAGCUAUUCAAGCGUUCAGCGGAUUUUCUUUGAACUCUGAGCCGUUUGUGGGCGACCAACCGGAUCGUGUAAAUUUGAUUGAUUCAGAAACCGGUAGCUUGGCUGUGGAGAUAACCAGACAAGCUACUUCCGAAGAAAUGUUCGUGUCCGGAAGAUCCUCGGAAAGCUAUGAAUCGUGUGUGUUAGACGAAGAUGCGGUCGUACCAGAUUGGCUGUUCAGAAUUAUAAGCCAGCAACAAGAGAUGUCCGAGGAACCUGAAACCGGUGGUUUAAUUAUUCCCCUGCCAUACGAUGAGCCAAUGGCUCUCGCUGAACCGAUGUACGAUGUGAACAGUAACGUGGUGGAGCCUGUCGGAGCCGGUUCUGGUGCGGGCGACGGUCGCGGUAUACACAGUGACUAUUCACAAGACAGUUCUGGUAGAGGAACUUCGUUAAGCUCCAGCGACACUUCGUCUGGAGCGCGUAACGAUCACAAUCGACCCAUCAUCGUUUGCAGUCCAACUGGAAGUUGUUGGUGAAGGUAUUGAUGUACCAGAUUUGAACCAAAUUAGAUCCGAACAAUCCCUCAACAUUGAAGGAGCAACUAACUCGCGACGAGUACGCGAAAGGCGUACUAUUGAUCAACCAGUUACAUCGAGCGAUGUUGAGGCCGAUGUUAGUUCAACUGACACUGACGUUCCGG
rnacentral:misc_RNA from 1 species